rnacentral:rRNA from 1 species
AGAAUCAACGCUGGCGGCGUGCCUAACACAUGCAAGUCGAACGCGAAAGUCCCGAAAGGGAUAAGUAGAGUGGCAAACGGGUGAGUAACACGUGGGUGACCUGCCUUCGAGCGGGGGGAUAACGUCCCGAAAGGGACGCUAAUACCGCAUAACAUCCUGCCUUUUAAGAGGUGGAGAUCAAAGCCGGGGACCGCAAGGCCUGGCACUUGAAGAGGGGCCCGCGUCUGAUUAGCUAGUUGGUGGGGUAACGGCCUACCAAGGCAACGAUCAGUA